UACGGGGGGAGCAAGCGUUGUUCGGAUUUACUGGGCGUAAAGGGCGCGUAGGCGGCCACCGCAAGUCGACUGUGAAAUCUCCGGGCUUAACCCGGAAAGGUCAGCCGAUACUGCGGGGCUAGAGUGCAGAAGGGGCAACUGGAAUUCUCGGUGUAGCGGUGAAAUGCGUAGAUAUCAGGAGGAAUACCGAUGGCGAAGGCAGGUCUCUGGGCUGACACUGACGCUCAUGCACGAAAGGCGUGGG
rnacentral:rRNA from 1 species